CAGAGGUGGCAAGCGUUGUUCGGAAUUACUGGGCGUAAAGGGCGCGUAGGCGGCCAUCUAAGUCAGACGUGAAAUCCCCCGGCUUAACCUGGGAACUGCGUCUGAUACUGGACGGCUAGAGUAUGGGAGAGGGAUGUAGAAUUCCAGGUGUAGCGGUGAAAUGCGUAGAUAUCUGGAGGAAUACCGGUGGCGAAGGCGGCAUCCUGGACCAUUUACUGACGCUGAGGCGCGAAAGCUAGGGGAGCAAACGGGAUUAGAUACCCCGGUAGUCCUAGCCCUAAACGAUGAAUGCUUGGUGUGGCGGGUAUCGAUCCCUGCCGUGCCGAAGCUAACGCAUUAAGCAUUCCGCCUGGGGAGUACGGUCGCAAGGCUG
rnacentral:rRNA from 1 species